rnacentral:lncRNA from 1 species
AAAGAAAAGGAGGAGGUUUGAGAGAGGGAGAAGGCAGAGGAGGAAGAGGAAGAAAAGCAGAGCAGAAGCACAUGGCCUGGAGAAACCGCAAGUUCUAAGGAGUCUCAUAGAUGUGGAAGAUGGUAGUGUAGCAGUAGAUCUGCCCAAUCUAGGCGCACAGCAUGUAUUCAUAUUAACUGUGUUGUCCUUUCAUUGCCGGGGCAUAUUUGGGAGGAGAUUUACCACAACACUCUCCCAUUGGGGCCAAACAAGGCAGCCCUCUGCUACAUAUGUGCAAGGAGCCUCCAACCAGCCUGUGUAUGCUCUUUGAGACAACUGGAAGGUGCCCACAGAGCUGGCUACGGGCUGGAAAGUGAUCCUAAAAAGAAAAGAGACCAUUCAUGAAUUCAUGAAAAUAAAUACUGCUACCUGCUGAGAGGCCCCUGGAGCUAUUCUGGAGACUAUGCCCUAUCCUGCAUGUCAUCACCUGCAGCUGGUUCCAGGCUCCAAGGAUGAAUUGGAUGCCUUACAGGCUCGAACCCGGACAUGUGAGCCACUGGCUGGCCCCAACAAACAUAGAAGCUUGGCUCAAUACAUCAAGCCUGAAAAAGUGGGGAAUGGCUCAGACUAUGGUGCUAGAAGCUUGUGAUUUGGGGCUGUGUAUAUGGUGGUGGACCAGGAAGAGGACAGGGGCCAGAAACAGGGCUCCUGAUCAA